UAAGCUCUUUGUGGCAAAAAAGAGG
rnacentral:piRNA from 1 species